GCUUCCUCCUAAUCAGCCGCCUCCUGGCUGCGGGAGCUCCGACGGUGGCGGCGGCCGGAACGGGACUGGUCGGCAGCAAGCAGGACAAGAAUGGGCGGCGGUGCCUCGUCUCUUUCUGAGGUUGAGGCAACGGCGGCUGUGCUGGCUGCGGCAGACGCGAAGGACGAGGGGCGCAUGGCCGAGGUCGGGCGGGAGGAGGCAUCGCGACAACGGGCGGCAGCGGUGGGGAGCACGCUGCGAGCAACGGCGACGGCUCGACGCGGAAGUGGUAGUGGCAGGCAGCGCCCCGAGCGAUGAGGGUGACUUGACGCGGCAGAGCAACGACAAGGAGUGCACGCUCGGGCGCGCGCCAGCGGCCUGAUCCAAGGGACGUUGGAGGCUUGCCGACCAUUGCCGACAGUGGUGGCGGCCGAACGGGGCGGCAGCGAGCAGGGUAGGGACGGGUGGUCGUCUCUCGGACUCCUUCCUCCGUGCGCAGCUCGUCUACCUGCAGAGGCCACGCGCCCGUCCCCCAUGCCCCUCCUCCUCGUAUCAUUCUCCGCCAGGAAGCGCCUCGGCUAAUAAGGGCAGGACGGGCGGGAUUCGGGGAAGGGCCGACCAAAUCGUGUGGUGGGUGGCAGAUUUCGCACGAGCGACGGCAACCUUGAGCGUGGGCACAGAGGCCAUGGCGAGCGGCGCGGAAAAGCUCGAUCUCGAGCGGCACCACGGGGGAGAAGAGAGAGGAAAACUGCAAACGCCUGCGGGAGGAGCAACAGCGCGGCCGACCGGGAACGAUUCAAUUGAUUGCAAUUUUGGUACCGCACAACGCCCAGGUAGUCUGUCAAAAACUGCCCCUUCUUUCUCUUCUGAUCUCGUGUUUACAAUCGUCUUGCUUGGCAUCUUUUUACCUUUCCCUCAUCUAUAUUUUUGAUUUGGUUAUAAAUCUUGCAGAUGGAUGCUACUAAUUAGGGAGUAGGUUUAUAUACGUUUGAAGGUUGCAGCUCACAAAACAAUUCGGUGGUUUUUGAUAGUUGGAUAAAAUAUGGGUUAAAGCAUUGUUAGUAGAAGGAAAGAAGCACAACGUCAAGCUGCAGAGAUAUCUUGAAGAAACCAGGCCGGGCGGUGGGCUAACUCACCACGUGGCGUUGCUUUUGGGUGCAAAGCAGAUGAAAAAUCAAGAUUGGUCUACGGUCAAUCCACUUUUUGCAAGGCUACUUUUAGACGUGCUUAUAUUGGUGAUGGCUUAUGAUGACGUGCAGUCUUCUACUGGUCUCAAUUGGUUCAUUUAAUAUGUUUUUUAUGAAAUGCCAAGGGAUGAUUUCCAGGCAUGCAGUGACACUUUUCUGGGUAUGUGUGUUCUGUGUUGCUUGAAUAAGACUGUUUCACUGAAUCCAUGGCUCGUAACUUGCUGACUGUAGCUCUCUGUGAAUUAGUUUCCUAUUUGACUGGCCUACCAGUUCUGGGGUAUUCUUCAGACAUUGGGAAGGAGCAUGUAAAUUUCGUCGAUGCGUAAUUAUAGAAGUUGAUAUACAAUGGCCAGCUUGAUUAGAAGGAAUUGGACAGGGGCACUGGAGGAGGGCAAGCUGAUCAGCGUGAAUGGCAACAGCUCUCAACCACAAUCAGCUGUAACAACAAGACACACAGGGAUCGUCGACUGGCCACUCUGCGGCAUCCAUGCUGCGCAGCGCCAGCACGCUUGGCGACAGCAUUCUCCUCAUCAUCGCGCUCUGCUUCCACUCCACGAUAGCCCGUUGAGAUUUGACUUAUUGCAUUUCAAAGAUUUGAUCUAUUAAAAGUGGCGGUGAACAGGAGGUGGAUAGUCAUCUUUCUUUAUUGUGAUCAGGCUUGAUUGUUCAGUAAUGAAAUCCCCCUGAAGGUGAAAGUUGUGCGAUAUUGCAAUGCUACUGAACCAUUUUGAUUACCAGCUUGUUGUGUUCAUGUGUCCAGUCGAGCUUGUGGGGGAGGGCAGCAACGGGAGCAGGGUAGAACGAGCUCGCGGAUCCUAGAACGUGUUAAAGGAUUAGAGCUUGCCCUCAGUGGGAUGGUUGGCCACCGGGGUGAAGCAAAAAAGGGGUGGCGCAUAUAUAUCAUUCAGGCUUAAUCCUUUUGGCGACUAUUUACCGCGAGCAAUCUGAAAGAACGAAUGCCCGAUAAUCAUUUGACAAGCCAAUGCACCAUGUCGCUCAAUUACAGAGCUGAGGAGGACCUGUCAGGAGGUUGGGACGAUGAUGCCCUGGAGGAGGGAUGGUCUUUGGUGGCAGAGGAUGCUGGCAGGGCACAAGAUUGCAGCAGAUGAAAUGGCGUGGCGUUCAAACCUUGGGAAGUAAGUGACUAUUGUUUCUUGUGCUUCCUAAUGUUAUCCUUUGUUUACCAAAUUAUCACGGAGAAACUUUGUUCUUCCUCUUUUACAGUUCAUGUAUUUUUGA